AGAGAAAGAGAGCCAGGGACAACAACAUCACAUUAGAAAGGUACACUGUAAAAUGUAAUAUUGUGUUUAAUUAAAAAUAUUAAAUAGGCUGAACUCAAUUUUUAUCAAUUUGUUAUUAGAACUCGAUUUAAAUAAGUUACCAGUACUUUUUAUGCAAAAAUUCUGAUAAACUCAAUUUAUUUGAGUUAUCUUAACUUAGAAAAACUAAGUAAGCUGGAAGUUUUGCUUCUCAGUGUGGAAGGAUGAAAGAUGUGUUUUGAAAAUGCCACGUGACUACCGUCCUCCUCCCUCUCAGAUCAGUCCGCAUGUUCAUGGUGCCAGCAUUUUUUAUGGAAUAUGUUGAGCAAACUUGGAGAAGCAUCAGCUCAAGAGAUUAUUGUGGAUCUUUACCUGAUACACUGACUUGGUUCGGGACCAGCACUCCUGUUGUUGGACAGAAAGACAUCAACUCAGUGACUUGAGCUAUGACUACACUAUGCUGUUGCUGGUGACUCCAGUUAAUUCUACAAGACAUGCUGUGACACCAGGAGAGAUGAGUCCUCCGUCACAGAUGGUGUGGUCAGUGAAGAUGGUCGCCUGCAGGUUCAAGCUCAUUGCAUCUCCAACCCACAUCCACUGCCACUGUACUUAAGGGAAGUUAAAGACUCAUCUUCUGGGCCUGAAAAAAGCCACGGUCUAAGUGCCUUAAACAUGCACUCUAUUUAAAGGCCACAAGAUGACAAUAGCUGAGAUUGCAGUGACAUGACCGCUAACCACAUAACGUUAACUUGUCUCCUUUUUUGGAGUCUAUGACACCAUAGGCUCAAGAGAAUGAAACCUCAGAUACACAGGCCUAGAGACUAGUCUGCAACUAUCUGACAACCAGUUGUCAUGAGGAAAGAGGUGUAGAAGGUUUGCCUUCAAAGAAAGAGCAUCACACUUUAGGGCUGUGCGAUAUGACCAAAAUCUCAUAUCCCAAUAUUAAGACAUCUAUCGUCC